GCAGACACAUUCCAGCCAAUCAGCAGCAGACCCUCCCUCCCAGACCCUCCCCCCUCCUGGACAGCAUCCAUUGUGAAGCUGCAUUCUUAGUGAGCUGUCCAGGAGGUGGGAGGGUCUGGGAGGGAGGGUCUGCUGCUGAUUGGCUGGAAUGUGUCUG
rnacentral:miRNA from 1 species